rnacentral:lncRNA from 1 species
AUCUUGGAAGUUGCCCGGGAAGACUUCAAACUUUGGGUUUGAGGCCUCGGCUGCCCAAUUUGGGAUUACAGGCAUGCGCCCCCAUGUGCAGCUUUAUGAACAGUUCUUUCCUUCCUUCCUUCCCUCCUUCCCUCCUUCCUUACAGAACUGGGGCCUGAACCCAGGGGCUCCAGAUACUAGUGCAGGAGGACCCAGUUUCUAUCUCGUGUCCUCAGGGCUGAGAAUGAUGCCUGCUCUGUGAUAGGGCUCAGAAAACCACCACAGCAGCAGUGGUGCUCACCAUCGUGAGACAAGUGCUCACCACUGACCAACAUCCCCAGCGCUUUUUAUUUUAUUUUGAGAAAGGGUCUUGUGAAGUUGCCCGGGCUGUUCUCAAACUUGCAAUCUUCUUGCCUCAGCCUCCUGAGUGGUUGGUUGUUGUUAUUUUAUUUUAUUUUUAUUUUUGGUGCUGGAGAUCAAACUCAGAACCUUGUGCUUGCGAGCAGGCGGUGGAACCACUGAGCUAAAUCCCUGGCCUGCUCCUGAGUGGUUGGGAUGACAGAUGUG